rnacentral:rRNA from 1 species
AAUGAACGCUGGCGGCAGGCCUAACACAUGCAAGUCGAACGGAUCCUUCGGGAUUAGUGGCGGACGGGUGAGUAACGCGUGGGAACAUACCCUUUGGUACGGAAUAGCCUCGGGAAACUGGGAGUAAUACCGUAUGUGGUCGAGAGACGAAAGAUUUAUCGCCAAAGGAUUGGCCCGAGUUGGAUUAGGUAGUUGGUGGGGUAAUGGCCUACCAAGCCGACGAUCCAUAGCUGGUUUGGGAGGAUGAUCAGCCACACUGGGACUGAGACACGGCCCAGACUCCUACGGGAGGCAGCAGUGGGGAAUCUUAGACAAUGGGGGAAACCCUGAUCUAGCCAUGCCGCGUGAUCGAUGAAGGCCUUAGGGUUGUAAAGAUCUUUCAGGUGGGAAGAUAAUGACUGUACCACCAGAAGAAGCCCCGGCUAACUCCGUGCCAGCCGCCGCCGUAAAAC